rnacentral:rRNA from 1 species
CUACGGGUCGCACCAGUGAGGAAUAUUGGGCAAUGGGCGGAAGCCUGACCCAGCCAUCCCGCGUGCAGGAUGACGGCCCUAUGGGUUGUAAACUGCUUUUCUGGGGGAAGAAACCUGUUUACGAGUAAGCAGCUGCCGGUACCCCAGGAAUAAGCACCGGCUAACUCCGGGCCAGCAGCCGCGGUAAUACGGAGGGUGCAAGCGUUAUCCGGAUUUAUUGGGUUUAAAGGGUGCGCAGGCGGGAGGCUAAGUCAGUGGUGAAAUACUGCCGCUCAACGGUAGGGCUGCCAUUGAUACUGGUUUUCUUGAGUAUGGUUGAGGUAGGCGGAAUGUGCAGUGUAGCGGUGAAAUGCAUAGAUAUUGCCCAGAACGCCGAUUGCGGAGGCAGCUUACUAAGCCAUUACUGACGCUGAGGCACGAAAGCGUGGGUAGCGAACAGGAUUAGAUACCCUUGUAGUC